UACGAAGGGGGCUAGCGUUGCUCGGAAUCACUGGGCGUAAAGCGCACGUAGGCGGGUUGUUAAGUCGGGGGUGAAAUCCUGGAGCUCAACUCCAGAACUGCCUUUGAUACUGAAGAUCUUGAGUUCGGGAGAGGUGAGUGGAACUGCGAGUGUAGAGGUGAAAUUCGUAGAUAUUGGGAAGAACACCAGUGGCGAAGGCGGCUCACUGGCCCGUAACUGACGCUGAGGUGCGAAAGCGUGGGGAGCAAACAGG
rnacentral:rRNA from 1 species